rnacentral:rRNA from 1 species
CACCACAACAGGUGGAGCCUGCGGUUUAAUCGGACUCAACGCCGGGAAACUCACCAGAUAAGACAGCUGAAUGAUAGUCGGGCUGAAGACUCUACUUGACUAGCUGAGAGGAGGUGCAUGGCCGUCGUCAGUUCGUACUGUGAAGCAUCCUGUUAAGUCAGGCAACGAGCGAGACCCACGCCAACAGUUGCCAGCUCGUCCUCCGGGAUGGUGGGGACACUGUUGGGACCGCCUCUGCUAAAGAGGAGGAAGGAAUGGGCAACGGUAGGUCAGCAUGCCCCGAAUUAUCUGGGCUACACGCGGGCUACAAUGGGUGGGACAAUGGGUAUCGACACCGAAAGGUGAAGGCAAUCUCCUAAACCCAUCCGUAGUUCGGAUUGUGGGCUGCAACUCGCCCACAUGAAGCUGGAAUCGCUAGUAAUCGCGGAUCAGCAUGCCGCGGUGAAUACGUUCCCGGGCCUU